GGCCAGAAUGGUGUAAUGGUUUGCGAGCUGAACUAUGACUUUGGAGACCAGGGUUCGAAUCCCUGCUUGGCCA